rnacentral:rRNA from 1 species
CAUAGGUUAAUGAGGCGAACCGGGGGAACUGAAACAUCUAAGUACCCCGAGGAAAAGAAAUCAACCGAGAUUCCCCCAGUAGCGGCGAGCGAACGGGGAGGAGCCCAGAGCCUGAAUCAGUGUGUGUGUUAGUGGAAGCGUCUGGAAAGGCGCGCGAUACAGGGUGACAGCCCCGUACACAAAAAUGCACAUACUGUGAGCUCGAUGAGUAGGGCGGGACACGUGGUAUCCUGUCUGAAUAUGGGGGGACCAUCCUCCAAGGCUAAAUACUCCUGACUGACCGAUAGUGAACCAGUACCGUGAGGGAAAGGCGAAAAGAACCCCGGCGAGGGGAGUGAAAAAGAACCUGAAACCGUGUACGUACAAGCAGUGGGAGCCUCUUAAUGGGGUGACUGCGUACCUUUUGUAUAAUGGGUCAGCGACUUAUAUUCUGUAGCAAGGUUAACCGAAUAGGGGAGCCGAAGGGAAACCGAGUCUUAACUGGGCGUUAAGUUGCAGGGUAUAGACCCGAAACCCGGUGAUCUAGCCAUGGGCAGGUUGAAGGUUGGGUAACACUAACUGGAGGACCGAACCGACUAAUGUUGAAAAAUUAGCGGAUGACUUGUGGCUGGGGGUGAAAGGCCAAUCAAACCGGGAGAUAGCUGGUUCUCCCCGAAAGCUAUUUAGGUAGCGCCUCGUGAAUUCAUCUCCGGGGGUAGAGCACUGUUUCGGCAAGGGGGUCAUCCCGACUUACCAACCCGAUGCAAACUGCGAAUACCGGAGAAUGUUAUCACGGGAGACACACGGCGGGUGCUAACGUCCGUCGUGAAGAGGGAAACAACCCAGACCGCCAGCUAAGGUCCCAAAGUCAUGGUUAAGUGGGAAACGAUGUGGGAAGGCCCAGACAGCCAGGAUGUUGGCUUAGAAGCAGCCAUCAUUUAAAGAAAGCGUAAUAGCUCACUGGUCGAGUCGGCCUGCGCGGAAGAUGUAACGGGGCUAAACCAUGCACC